CCCACCCCUCUUCUAAGGAGCACAGAUCUGACACUCUCCAGGGAAGCUCCCCCCCGCCCCUCCUUUGGUGCUCGUCGAGGGUGGGGGGGCGCGACUCCUCUAGGGAACGUUGGAACAAUGGCGGGGGGAAAGUGGAGCGCAAGGGAAGGGAGAUCCAGUUGGAACCAAAUCUAGUGCUCCGACUACUAGAAAAGUCAUUACAGUUGGUAGCGGGGUCUGGGUUCAGACUUCAGACCAAACUUUGCAGUCAUGUCAGUGCUCAGCAGAACGACGGUGGAUGUGAGGUGGGUUGAGGGUGCCUGCCGCAGGGCACUCCAAAGUGGCGAAGGGACACCAUGGCCAUUGAGGCCAGAGAACUCCAUCAUGCUAGCUUUGGUAACCUAACACUAUGACUUUUUCCAAGUCAGUUUAGGUUUUAUAUAUUUUAAUUAUUCUUUUCCCCUUUGGAUAAUGCCUUGGACUGUUGUAAUUAUGGCCACCAUCAAAUGUGAUUUUGAAUCGGGUAAAGAAGGCAAAGGAGGGAUUGUCCUGCAUUUUUCUACUUUUUAUGAUCAGAAGAGCCUGCUUGCAUUAGAGCUGUCAAUAUGGGCUGACCCAGCUCAGCCCAGCUCAAGAUUUUGUGGAUUAAGAAAAAAUAGAUCAGAUCGGAUCAGUCUAUUUUUAUA